CAGGAACAUCAAAUGGAACAACUAUCCUUGCAAGAAGACACCUUCAAAAGAGCUAAAGAAAUCAGUGACCCUAGGGCGCCAGUGAGCCAUUCAUCACACACAGAACCUCACAAGGAGGAUGACUCACACACACAUCAACAAGCUCUGUCUCUGUUUCUUACUUUAUCCAUCUCAAUAGACUGUCUUGAGAUAUUCUCAGUUAGAUUAAAAGUGGAUAUGAAGGAGAUUCUUGAAGAUCUUGCCAUAUGUUUUUGAAUGAUGACUCUGAACUUUCGUAUGAGAGAAAGAGAGUGUGCUGUACUUUAAGAAUACUGCGAGUCUCUGUUGAUAUACUUGCUAGUUUGUGGC
rnacentral:lncRNA from 1 species